UGGGGAAUUUUGGACAAUGGGCGAAAGCCUGAUCCAGCCAUGCCGCGUGCAGGAUGAAGGCCUUCGGGUUGUAAACUGCUUUUGUACGGAACGAAAAGACUCUGGUUAAUACCUGGGGUCCAUGACGGUACCGUAAGAAUAAGCACCGGCUAACUACGUGCCAGCAGCCGCGGUAAUACGUAGGGUGCAAGCGUUAAUCGGAAUUACUGGGCGUAAAGCGUGCGCAGGCGGUUAUAUAAGACAGAUGUGAAAUCCCCGGGCUCAACCUGGGAACUGCAUUUUGUGACUGUAUAGCUAGAGUACGGCAGAGGGGGAUGGAAUUCCGCGUGUAGCAGUGAAAUGCGUAGAUAUGCGGAGGAACACCGAUGGCGAAGGCAAUCCCCUGGCCUGUACUGACGCUCAUGCACGAAAGCGUGGGGAGCAAAC
rnacentral:rRNA from 1 species